AUGGCUUGGAGGGAUGGCAGACACGCUGCUGUUUAUUUCAGGUGUUGGAGACUUGCUUAUCCUCCACAAUCAUUUAUCUUCCUAGAGCCCUCUCCAGUGUUCCCAUCCAGUUCCUCCUUUGGGACUCAGAGCAUUCUUGAGGGGGAUGUACAAGUACCUCCACUUCAACUGAAGAGGAAGGCGAGGCUUAGAGUUUCCCUGCAGGAAAGUGAAGAUUUAACAGAGAAAAUUAUGAAACGCUUCUGCUGGAAUCAAGCAGAAAGGAAGAUCUUUAAUAAGAGGAUCAAUUAUGAACCUUACACUCUUAAGCCUAGUUCUCCACGAGAGCAAAGAUGACAAUGGGAACUAAUGGGGUCUCUUAGUUCCUUUUCAAACCUUUAAGGUCUGGGUCUAGCUGUUGCCUCAUGGGAACUUCUUCUCUGUUAUUUCUCUAACAUUUCAAUUGCCACAGAAUUAACCUGGAUUUUAUAGAUGCUAUUUUUCUACUCUUUGGGGAGUAUUAUGAGAAGGCCAACUAUGAUUGCUGCAAAGAAUAGCUCUUGUCGCCUCUGCAGCCACUAAAGCAAAGAUGUCAGCUGGGAGGCCAAUCUUAUUCCACCCUCCACACUCCACCCCCAGGAGAACCUGCCCGUUGGCCCAUCUCAGGUAUAACUUCUUAGACUAGGUUGGCCUCUGACCUCAGGGUACCCCUCCCAAGGCAGCUGAGUUGUGACCCGGUGAAGAAGAUGAUCUGGACCACUGAGAGUCCUCCUUCAGGCCAUAAGUCCAGGGAACUGAGAGGCUGCUGACAUUUUGGAAAUGGAAACCAAAGCAGAGGCUGUGGUACAGAAAGGGGAGAGAAGCAGGUGAUCAUCAUGAUGGUCACAUAUGAGAUGAAGGCAUGAAGGGGGCCCUCCAACAAUAGCAACCGCAAGAGGCCACACAUUCCUGGAAAGAUGGGGAGUGUCUCUUAGUUUGGGAUGGUUUUCCCACCUCAGACCCAGCUCCCAUGAGAGCCAGCUGAGUCAAGGCUCCUGUUCUAGGGGUCACCAUCCCUGCCUCACAGAUCCUGGUACUAAAAACCCCUCUUUCCUGAGCCAGCUUAAGGUGGGUGGGGAGGUCUCUUUCUGAAAGCCAUCUGCUCAUCAAGGGAAGGUGUUUAGAUCAUUUACAUUUAAUGUAAUUAAAGAUAGAGUCAGGCUUAUAGCUACCAGCUUGCUGCUUAUUUUCUAUUUGUCCCCUUUAUUCUGUUCCCUUUUUUUCUUUUGGCCUUCUUUGCAUUAAUUAUGCAUUUUUGAGUAUUUUAUUUUCUCUCCACUAUUGGCUUGGUAACUAUCACCUUGUCUUCUCUUUUCAGUGGUUGUUCUAGGAUUUAAAAUAUGCAUAAUUAAUGUAUCACCAUGCACCUUCAAAUAUUAUCUUACUUCACAUAUACUAUAAAAGCCUUCCAACAGUAUGCUCCCACAUUCCCCUCCUUUACUUUGUGCUAUUGUUGUCAUAUAUUUUACUGCUGUAUAUGCGAUCAACACCACAAUAUAGUUGAUUUAAAACAAUAAGACAAUAUAUACAUUCUUCUGCUUUAAAUCUUUAUGCUUUUUAAAUUUUUAAAUAAGGGGGGAAAAGAUAUUUUAUUUUUACUCACAUUAUUUACCAUUUCCUGAUCUCUCCAGCCCUUAGUAUUAAUCCAAGUUUCCAUCUGGCAUCAUUUUCCUACUGCCCAAAGAACUUUAGUACUUUUUUUUAAGUUCAGGCCUAUUGGCAACAAGUGUUCUCAUCUUUUGUCUGUCUGAAAAAGUCAUCAUUUCACCAUCAUUUUAAAAUUACAUUCUUGCUAGAUUAAAAUUCUGAGUUGACUUCUUUUUCUUUCAACACUUUAAGAUGCAUUCCACUGUCUUCUGGGUUGCAUUGUUUCUUACAAUAAAUCUGUGGUAAGCUUUAUCUUUGUUCCUCUG
rnacentral:lncRNA from 1 species